rnacentral:lncRNA from 1 species
UUCUUCUCCUUCGUAAAUACAGUACUAGUAAGCGUAUACUAGCACUAGCUAGGAAGCCAUGGCGCCGACCGUGAUGGCCUCCUCGGCCACCUCCGUGUCUCCAUUCCAGGGGCUCAAGUCCACCGCCGGACUCCCCGUCAGCCGCCGCAUCAGUAGCACCGGCUUCGUCAGCAACGGCGGAAGGAUCAGGUGCAUGCAGGUAAUAUAAUCGAUCGAUCUAGACACUGGAAUUCUUGCUGUUACGUUGUUCAUAUAAAUAAUACAACUCAAUAGGAAGUUUAGGAACUGAUAUGAGAGUGUCGUUGCUCAGGUGUGGCCGGCGGAGGGCAACAAGAAGUUCGAGACCCUCUCCUACCUGCCACCUCUCUCAACCGACCAGCUCCUGAAGCAGGUCGAGUACCUGAUCCGGAACAACUGGAUCCCCUGCCUCGAGUUCAGCAAGGUCGGGUUCGUCUUUCGUGAGAACAGCAGGUCUCCCUGUUACUACGACGGGCGCUACUGGACCAUGUGGAAGCUGCCCAUGUUCGGCUGCACCGAGGCCACCCAGGUGUACGCUGAGCUCGAGGAGUGCAAGAAGGCCUACCCUGACUGUUACAUCCGUGUCAUCGGCUUCGACAACCUCAGGCAGGUGCAAUGCGUCCUGUUCAUCGCCUACAAGCCCCCGGGCAGCGAGUAGACCGGCGCCGCCAAAUAAAAAGCUUAAAUACUGAGACUCUUCAGCUCCUGCAUGGGCAACCAUGAAGUGUCUGUUCGUUUUUUUUUUUGCUUCGUGUCACCUUGAUUUUGUUUUUUUUUCCUUGCUUGCUUCUGCUGUAUCCAUGGCAUGCAUGCGGAUCUCUCCCCCCAACCGGAGAGUUAUCUACAUAGGACUAGCUACUAUACAACUAUCGAUCGUUGGGUGAGGAACAUGUGAAUGCUAGCUCCGGCUAUGAUAUGUAAUAUGGAUACUAGAGCAUACCCUGCCAAUCCGCCGACAAUACUAGAUCAUGGUUAAUUACUGGUGUUUUUGUCUAAUUUUUGUGUAUCUUUGCUCAAACUUACGCUUCUACGUAAAUCAAAUGUCAUGUAUCAGAUCAGUUGAGGAAAUAAAGGCUUACAAUACCUGUCCUUUUUAUUACCCCCGGUCAGAGUUGCAUACUUGCAACAAAUGAUUUGACAGUAAUUAUAAUUUCAUGGACUUAUAAAUUCUAGCUAGUUAAAGAGGAUGAGGCCAUUGAGUUCAAACACAUACUUUGUGAAUGAAAUGGAAAAUGUAUGUAUAAUUCAAAUAAGAACAAUGAAGUCAUUGAUACGACAAGUGCAAAGGCAGUGUGUUUUAUAUUUUAGAUCAUGCAUAGAGGUAAGAAUCAUACAACCACGCUCUUGUGUCUCCACUCCAUGAGAGAAGUCCUAGUAUCUAUCGGAGUGAAGAGUGAACUGUGUGAACAAGUUUCUUAAUUUUGAACAGAAUCAAUAUAGUAGUAAAUUGAUAUAGAAUAAUGCCAAGUCAGCAACUCAGCUUGCCACCACAUAUUCAUAGAUCGAUAACACCAAAAGGCAGAUGACGAUGACCCUAAAAGGAUGUGAGACGAAAUAGGCCACGUGCGUCACUGCUUUUGAUUGGGCUCGUAGUAGUCAAUCUAGGCAUUCCCAUACCAUCCGACCUUGGAUAUUUUUAGGGCAUUUAGUUACUCACGGUAACGAAUUACAUUUAAUGGUAAAUCGAUCGCUACGGGAGGAAGGAACUUUCGUCCACUUCGUUAGUACCGGUUGGAAUUAGCACUAGUAGAAAACACACCUUCCAUGCGCUCACUUUUAUCACGGUUUAAAGUUGGCCCGGGACAAAAGGGGGCAUACCACGGUAAGUUGAAAUGGGGCGGAGUUUUAGUCACGGUUGGUAUUUGCAACCGAGACUAAAGUCCCCCGUUAGUCCCAGUUGUAACGGCUAGUUACCAGCCACCGAUGGCGCCGCUCUUUUGUCCCGGUUGGAGCUUCCAACCGGGACAAAAGCGCACCCCUUUUGUCCUGGUUGGAGUUACCAACCGGGACAAAAGGUUUACUCCCGGUUGGUAACUCCAACCGGGAUAAAACGGGGAGCCGUUUAUCCCGGUUGGUGUUUCCAACCGGGAGUAAACUCUCAACCGGGAUAAAAGGGGUUUGUUUUUGUCCCAGUUGGAAUUUUCAACCGGGACAAAAACUCCUCCCCUAUAAAAUCGCAAGAUAGAGGCCUCUUCUUCCUCCUUCAGCCCGAGCCACUCCACUCCACAAGACAGAGAGCUUCAUCCUCUUUUCCAUGGCACCGAAGCAAGCCUAGGGGAGGUGCUGUCCAAAUUUUUUUCCUCAUUUCCAUGGGGAUUUUACUCAUCCAAAGUGUUGUGAAGGUUAGCUACUUCAUUCUCCUUUCAUUUAUUGUUGUUAUGCUUUAGAGAGGGAGAAAAAUAAGUUGGUUAGAAUGAGGAAGAAUGGAGAGGAUGUGUGUAUGCAAGCAGUGCUAAGGUAUGAAUUUUUGUACAUAUAGAUGGCUUCUGCUGCUGGAGGUAGUGGCAAUGGUGGGGGCGAUCAUCGUUCCUCUCGCGGCAAGGGGAAAAGCAUAGUUGGCCCGCGUGAUAAGCUAGAGAAAAUGAGCAUGUGGGAGAAAGCAAUGCUUCGUUAUUUGCAAAGAUGUCAUGAAGAUGCUGUUGCGGUGGGUCAGGAACCUCCUUUUGGUGGUCGUUAUGCUCCACCACCAGUCCCGGGUGUUUCACGUCCACUUAGUACUACCGUUGCAGGAGGCACAAAUAAACUACAGGAUGAGGCUGGGUCAGCGAAACCUUUGUCUUUGCCAACCAAGGAUGCUUAAAGUGAUCCUAGAUAGUACUCAGUGGAUGGUUUGUCAUAGUGUACCAUGUUGUUUGGAUCUGAAAUUUGAAUAUAUGUAUUUCUAUAUAUAUCUAAACUUUCAGCAUCAUUUGCACUACAAAGUUUGACAUGCUUUCAAUCGUGAAUAGCAUGUAGAUAAGUCGUAAAGCGUAUCAAAUAACCAUCAAUAGGAUGCGAAACGGAAAUGACACACUUACUCGCAAGAAGAGAAUCUAAUAUUUGUAAUCAUUGAAGAAUGAAGAAACAAUAUAUUUGAAUUGGUAAAAAAAACAACUACCAUAUAACAUAAUAUUUAUAAUGUUGGCAAGAUAUUAGAGACCUGCAUGCUAAAAAUCAUAAUAAAAUUAGCUAAGUACAACAAAAAUAAAAAAAGGAAAAAAUGCAUAAUCCAUUUUCAUGCGUAAUACGAUGUAGAUGGACCGGCAAUGGAUGUAUAACAUGGACAGAUGGAGCAAGGAGUUUGUUGAUGGCUUGCAUGAUUUUCUCAAAGUGGCCAAAGCGAACAAGCCAAAGAACGGGUUCAUAUAUUAUCCAUGCUUCCAAUGUAGUAACAAGAAGGACUAUUCACAAGCUUCCUGGGGGACAAUUCACAACCAUUUGUUUAGAUAAGGUUUCAUGCGUAACUAUUUGGUUUAGACCAAGCAUGGAGAAAGAGGGGUUGUAAUGGAAGACGACAAAGAGGAGGAGGAUGAUGACAAUAUUUCGGACUGGGCUGCAGGCCAAGCUUUUGCAGAUACUACAAUGGGCGAGCCUGAUGAAGAUGAAUUUGCAGAAGACAACCUUACUGAUGACCUUGGUUAGGUGCUACGGGAUGCACAUAGAGAUUGCGAAACUGAGAAGGAAGUAGCAAAGUUGCAGCGCAUGAUAGAUAAUCAUCAAAAAUUGUUUUACCCAGAUUGCCAGCAGGGCUAUAAAAAAUUAGGUACUACAUUAGAAAUUAUGCAAUGAAAGGCCAAAAAUGAUGUGUCCGAUAAGUCAUUUCAGGGGAUGUUGAAAAUUGUCAAGAAGAUUCUUCCCGAGAAUAAUGAAUUGCCGUCCACAACCUAUGAAGCUAAAGAUAUUUUUUGCCCUCUAGGAUUGGAAGUUCAGAAGAUACACGCAUGCCCUAAUGACUGUAUCCUCUAUCGUGGUGCUGAAUACGAGAAAUUGGAUGCUUGUCCCGUGAGCGGAGCGCUGCGGUAUAAGAUCAGGCAAGAUGAUCCUGGUGAUGUUGAGGGGCAGCCUCCCAAGAAGAGAGUUCCUGAGAAGGUGAUGUGGUAUUUCACUAUAAUACCACGCUUGAAGUGCUUGUUCAGGGACAAGGCGAAUGCUAAGUUGAUGCGACGGCACAAAGAAGAACGUAAGCAAGAUGAGAUGCUGAGACACCCUGCUGAUGGGGCCCAAUGGAGAUCAAUUGAUAGAGCAUUCCUGGACUUUGAAAGUGAUGCAAGGAACAUAAGGUUUGGUUUAAGUAUUAAUGGAUUCAGUUCAUUUGGUGAGUUGAGUAGUGGUCGUAGUACUUGUCUUGUGACCCUAUGUAUGUUCAACCUUCCUCUUUGGAUGUGCAUGAAGCGGAAGUUCAUUAUGAUGCCGGCACUUAUCCAAGGCCUAAAACAACCCAGCAACAACAUUGACAUGUACCUAAGACCGUUGAUUGAUGAACUUUUACAGCUCUGGAAGAAAGAAGGUGUACGUGUGUGGGGAUGAGGAUAAAUAAGAGAUCUUUAACCUAUGAGCAUUGUUAUUCGUAACCAUCAAUGAUUGGCCUGCACUUAGUAACCUUUCAGGACAGAUAAAUAAGGGAUAUCGGGCCUGCACCCACUGUUUAGACGACACAUACAACAUGUAUUUGAAGCACUGUAAGAAGGUCAUCUAUAUGUGUCAUCGUCGAUUUCUCCCUGCUAACCACCCGCUGAGAAAGAGAGGGAUGCAUUUCAAAGGGGCGCCAGACAAUCGUGAAAAACCUGCACACCAUAAUGGAAAGUGUGUCUUUGAGACGAUAAAGGAUGUAAGGGUAGUCUUUGGAAAGGGUCUUAGUAGCGAACCUGUUCCGAAUGACAAUAAUGGAUGUGCACCCAUGUGGAAAAAGAAGUCAAUAUUUGGGAGCUACCUUAUUGGAAAAUCCUAGAGGUCUGCAACGCAAUAGACGUGAUGCACCUGAUGAAGAAUCUUUGCGUUAACGUGCUAGGCUUCAUGGGUGUUUAUGGGAGGUCAAAAGAUACAUUGGAAGCAUGACAGGACCUGAAACGUAUGGGGCAACGAGAUGACCUACAUCCAGAAAAGAGAGAUAAUGGACAACACUACUUACAUCCUGCCAGUUACACUCUUAGCAAGGAAGAGAAGGAUAGCAUGUUUGAAUGCUUGAAUAGUAUGAAGGUCCCAUCUGGGUACUCCUCGAAUAUAAAGGGAAUAAUAAAUAUGAACGAAAAGGAGUUCAUAAAUCUCAAGGCCCAUGACUGCCACAUGUUGAUGAUCCAGUUGCUUCCAGUUGCACUGAGGGGUGUUCUACCAAAGAAUGUCCGAUUGCUGCUUGUAAAGCUAUGCACGUUUGUCAAUGCGAUUUUGCAGAAGGAAAUUGAUCCAACCAAGCUAUUAAAGCUACAGAACGAUGUGGUGCAAUGUCUUGUCAGCUUUGAGUUGAUAUUUCCACCAUCCUUCUUCAAUAUUAUGACGCACCUCCUGGUUCACCUAGUAAAAAGAGAUUACUAUUCUCGGACCAGUAUACUUGCACAAUGUGUGGCCUUUCGAGAGGUUCAUGUCAGUCCUAGAAAACUAUGUUCUUAAUUGUGCCUGUGCCUGUCCAGAAGGAAGCAUCACCAAGGGAUAUGGAACAGAGGAGGUGACUGAGUUUUGUGUUGAUUUUAUUGACUUCAUUGAUUCGAUUGGGGUUCCAACUUCACGCCAUGAGGAGAGGCUGCGGUGAAUGGGCACUCUUGGAAGGAAAUCAAGUUUGAGCAAUGAUACUGAUUUGUUCGAUAAGGCACACUACACUGUUUUGCAACAGUCAUCCUUUGUGGCUCCAUAUAUCGAGCAACACAGGCAGAUCCUAGUUUCCAAAAAACCGACGAAAUCCGAUGCCUAGCUUAUACAUCAUCACAUGGAUACUUUUCCCUCCUGGUUGCGUCAACAACUUAUGGGUAACUCUAAGAUUCACCCACAGCUCACUUGGUUAGCCAGGGGACCUUCUAGCACAAUCGUGAAAUUCCAAGGCUACGAGAUAAAUGGUUAUACAAGUUACACAAGAGCCCAAGAUCAGAAAAGCAUGAACUAGAAUAGUGGUGUCCGCAUAGAUGCCAUAGACAGAAAUAGUAUAGCAAGGACUCGUAGUAUGGUUUCAUAGAGGAGAUAUGGGAACUCGAAUGCGAACCGCUGUACAUCGCUCUAUUUCAUUGCCAAUGGUUGAAGAUAACUGGCGUAACCAAAGAUCAGUAUGGAAUGACAAUAGUGGACUUGAGCAAGAUUGGAUACAGUGAUGAAGCAUUCGUACUUGCCAAUGAUGUGUAUCAGAUUUUCUAUGUGAAGGACAUGUCUAGCAAACCCAAGAGAAAUCCAGAAGAGCCAUAGGAGUCAAAGCACCACAUAGUUCUUCCAGGUAAAAGAAAAAUCAUGGGAGUCGAGGACAAAACAGACCAAACAAAUGAUUAUGAUCAGUUUGAUGGCAUGCCUCCGUUCGCUGUUGAAGUUGACCCAAGCAUCAUGCUAUCCAAAGAAGAGGCUCCGUACUUACGCCGCGAUCAUGACCAAGGACCUUUCAUGAAUAAGAAGUUUUUUAACAUUACAUUGUAACACACUAAUUUUGCUUCACCUUUAUGUACAGUUACAUUGUAAAGUUCUAUGAUUUCAUGUACUACUUGAUACAAUUUUUAAUUUAACGUAUCUAUGAUUUCAUGUGUGUUUAAUUAGUUGAGGUGAAGAUUUAUUCGAUCAAUAUGAACAAUGUUAACCACAUACAUCAAUUGAAUUUUUCACACGUUGAAAUUAUUUAAUUUGAUGAUAGCGAUGCAGUAAAAUAAUUAUUUUAGAAGCUAGAAGAACUAGUAUAGAAUUAAUGACUCAUUCAAACUUAUUGUAAAUAUACUUACUAAUUUAAUAUAUUUUUGCAUGUUCGAAAUAUGUUAAGUUCUUAUUUUUUCUUUCCUGAAAUCUAGUGAAAAACAUAUAUAAAAUCUAUUUCCCAAAAACUGGCGGGAGACGAAAAAUAGGAAAAGACCCUUUUGUCCCGGGUGCCAAUUGCAACCGGGACAAAAGUUCCCCCGUUUUAUCCUGGUUGUAAAUUGAAACUAGGAUAAAAGGGUAGUUUUCGAUUCCCGCUCGGAACGUACCCUUUUAUCCUGAUUUUAGUUUGCAACCGGGACAAAAGUUCCUUUAGUCCCGUGUUUAAUUAGGAACCGGGAUAAAAGGGGGGGGCGAUAAAAGUAACAGUCAUCUUCUACCCCCUUGUAACAUCCCUAGUUUAAGUGAAAUAAUUCAAAGGUUAAUUGAAGUGAUUAAGGGUACAAAUCGCACAUAAACUCUAAACCUUGCCAUGUGAAAAAUUCAAAUGCACUUUAAACCUUGGAAAACUCACAAGAAGGCAAAUUGAAGUCAAAUGGGACCCAGCAAGAAACCAAAGUGAAAACCAGCAAUUUUAGGUUGGGAAGGUAGAAAAACACCCCAAAGUUCAAAUCCCAACCUUGAAAGCUUUUCAAACACAAAGAUUGAAAAAUGCCUCAAAAAGCACUUCUUGGGGGUAGAUGUUAAAAAUAGAAUUUUAUACAAGAACUCAACUUUUGGCUAAUAUGAAAGUUGUAGAACAUUUCAAAACAAGCAACUUUUGUUAGUUGCACAUCUUCUGAUUUUGAGUGGAAGGCCUUCAAAUUUCAGUUCAAAAUUCAGCAAAUUUGGGGAAAAGUACAAACUCAGCCAUGUCUGGCGUUCCACCAAACUUCCAACCUUUCUAUCUCCUUUUCUGUUGAGUUUUUGACACAUGAGCCUUCGUAGGAGUUAUAGAGUCAGCUUUGGACAAAAAGUUUUGUAUUUGGAAAUUUUGAAGUUUCAAUUCAAAAUUUGGAGAAAAAUUGAUGCUAACAUGCUUUCCUCGCUCGCCACAGCGUCGCCCACGUGCACCGGCGCCGGUGACUGUGCACGGCGCAUUGUGUCGCGCCACGCGAUGCCGCCCCGCUCACGCCGCACCUCGGCCUGUCACCGCCAGUGAUGGGAUCUGACCUUCCCCGGCACUGCCCCCUCCCCCCGCGCGCAAUCCUUACCCUCUGCCGUACAUCUCUCCCUGGCCAAUUGCCGCGACACGCCCACGUGUGCUCUUGCCCACGUCCCCGCGUUCACCGCCAUGUCGCGCCGCGCCACCAGCUCCGCCGUCAUGGCCAAUGCCGCUGAUGAGGUGAUGAAUCGGGCUCUCCCUCUAAGCCAACUCUCGCGCACGACAACAAGCAUCUCCACAGCUCUACAGUCUUCCCCGGCCACUCCUUCAGCCCGCCCACGCACACGCCACUGCCAGCCACUCCGUCGCGCCGCUCUUUUGCUCCGCUAGUGCCUGGCCGCCCUCGUGCGCCUCGGCGGGCCCUCAGCCUCGUGGAUGCCCUAUACACCCUCCUGGCACCCUCCCCAUGCUAUAAAAGGAGGCCCAGCUCUCCUCGCGCACCCCUCCGCCACCGCCCCUCUCUACCGAAGCGUCGCCGCUGCCACCAGAGCCCUCGCCAUCGAGCUAGCCCUCACGAGCAUCGCCACCGCCUACUAGCCCCUCUGGUUCAACUCUUACACCCGCGCAGCUUCAUGAGCCGCUACCCAGCCUCCUCCACCACCUCUGGCGCCGGAGCAGAGACUCCCCCACCGCCGCAUAACCCUCACCGUGGACCGCCGCCGUCAAGCCUCCUCCGCCCACGUAUCCUUCAUCGCAUCGAACCACGGUGAGCCUACGACUGUGCCUGAGCCCUUUCCCCCUCCUGUUGUCGCCACCGCUCGCCGGGAAUUGCACCGACAAGCCACCGGCGAGGUCUGAGGACCAAGUUGAGAGCCCCGAAAUCUUCCUAAGGUCUAAAUCAUAAAAUAGCAGGACCGCUCUAUGAAAGUUUAACAGUUCCAAGGGCCUUUCUGCAAAACAUUGGAAAUGUGUAGGAAUUUUUAAAAAAAUGGUAAAAAUGUGAAAUCAAUUUUGUUAGACUCCUGAUGCACAUGGCUAACUAGGAAAAAUACUUUCUUUUGUAAUAUACAUGUUUUACCUUACUUAAAUAAAUGCAUGUGGUUUAAUGUACUUUUUAUGUGAUAAAUAGUUUUCAUGCUCUUUAAAUUCUGGAAAAAUUUACAGUAGCCUCUGUUAGUGUUGGUAACCCUUCUGUAAAAUUUGUGGAACCACACUGAUGAUGAAGCUCUAGAUAAAAUUCUUUCUUCAUGUUUUGCAAUCUAAUGUUGUUUGGUUUUUAGUAAAUUUUGUAAACACCAAAUGCAUCUUAAAUUUUUUUAGUAGAUCGCUUGAGUAAUAAUGAAGCUUCUGUAAAAAUUCAGAACAAUAUCUUAUUUGGUCAUUCCAAAAACAUUUUUUAAGUAAUAUCUAGUUAAAUGGAAUAAUAACAAAUGUUAAAUAGGAAGGGUAUAAGGGUAAAAGCUCUUUUAAGUUGUUUAAAAAUUCAGAAACUACAUAACUUUCCAAAUGAAUGUUGAGCAACCCUAAACUGACCCUACCUUUCUUUUGUGAAGUCUAAGUUGUUAAAAUCUUAUAUGUGUACACAAUCAGCAUCAAAGUCAACCCUGGGUUUUAAAUCACAACACACCUUACUUCAUGAAUUAAAUGAAAGUUGGAAUCUUGUCUAGGUGAAUGUGGUCAAAAGGCAAUUUACACUUCUGCAAUAUCAUCUGAAUUGCAUCCUGCCUGUGAAAUCUUGAAUUAUUGCAUAUGCAUCUCAUGUAAAAGCGAACCUUGCCGACGGGACAUACGAGCUGCUUCUGAUGAUAGAGGAGGAACCUUCCAAGCUACACUAGAUUGAGAUCGAGCAAGACCCCAGCCAAGCUUCCAACGACCCUCCUACUAACCUAGUUCAGGAAGACAAGCCCCGGAGCAUAACCCUGAUUCAAAGUUUAUGCAAUAUCUAUGAUACUUAUGUUUGUGCAUUUAAGUUCAUAGGAGUUGCUUGAAACCGUAGCUGCAUGAUCUUAAGUACCUAUGUUUGAAUAGUAAUAUGACAGGUCGAGUAGCUACAAUGCUAAAUAGGGACCCGGUAAAAGUCAAGUGAUUUCCUGUCACUCACGAGUUAUAGGAGUUGUUUGCCUACUUAUGUUCUCACCAUAAGGACGACGGACGGGGCCAGACUUUUGGUUCUGACUCGGUGGAAUUUGUCCUGUCUAUCUAGGAGAAAGCUGCUAAGGUCGGAAUAUGUUUAGAGCUGUGGUCAAGUGUUUGAAAGUACUAAUCUCAUACCUAGUUUGGGAUGGGGAAGCCUAGUACCUGAUUGAACCGGGACGUGAGUAGACCGCCCCACUCUCUCUAAAACUUGGUUCCCCUGAUGCAUCAUGUGGGUACAAGGGCAGUCACGGUAUAGUGUCGUCUAGGACCGUGGGGCAUUGUAUCCAAGGGAAGUGGCCCUAACAUGUGCUUGGGGAUUGAUGGGGACGGCUGACAUGUGUGGACCCGGUGUGGUAUGCAUAUGUUGUGGGGUUAGGUUCACCUUGCAAGGUUAUGAAACUCGAUUCGAAUCGUCUGCCUCUCACAGUUUGAGACUGCUUGACUGCACUUCUGUACUAAGUAAGAAUAGAACUGAGGAUGAUUAUCAUAAUGAUGAUGCUUGGAAUAAAAUGUUUGAUCACCAUGCUUGAUUAGAAUAGGUGCUUACUUAGAAUGAAUAAGCAACUAGAACUUGAUGCUAAAACUUGAAAGUAAGGACCUACUUUAGCUGCUUUUGGCAAAACAAACCCCUCAGCAAAAAAGCCUUGCAUGUCUAGAAGCUGGUGGAGUAGUUACCGCCCGACCGUUAAGUCUCGCAGAGUAUUAGUAUACUCAGCCUUGCUUGUGGCUUUGUUUUCAGGUAAUAUGGUAGAUGUCGAUGAAUGUGCUGUUAGCUUGACUUGGCCCACCCAGCUCCCUUCAGGUUCGACGGUCGAGUGGGACCUGUCCUCGGUUGGCGAGGAUCGUGGUAACUGAUGACAUGGUAGGCUUCACCAUGGCAUCUCUGAUUUGACGUCUAGAUUGUCUCUUUAUUUCCGCUGCUUGAACUCUAAACAACUUUACUUUAUGCAAUUUCGAACUCUUGUGGUGUAAUAAUUAAAGUGGGACCUAUGUUAGUCUACGUGGAUUGUUGUAACCUCUGGACUCACCUUCAUGUGAGUAUGCUUUGUUUCGAUCCGAGACAAGUGGUUUAUUGGGUGAAACCCAACAGACUACCAGGUUAACUUAAUUGUCAGUUCGCAUGUGAGGCGAAGUUGAGCACACUUUAGCUGGGUUCAUUUGGUUAGUUCUGCCACACCCCCACCCUUCAACACUUAGGAAAAUUUUUCACCACCACCAAGAUCUGCGCCCGUCCACCUGCUCCGUCACGGUCGAUCUUCCAUCGCCACCCGUCCGCUUCCCUCACCGGCCGCUGUUCUCCUCAUUGCCCGCCACCCCGACCACGGUUGCCCGCCGGCCCUGGCUCCCGCAUGUACGGCGGGCCCCUUACUGACGCAAGCCACCGGCUUGCUGACGCAAGGGCCUUUUUUAUUUUUUAGUUAGAAAAUCAAUAGAAAUUUGUACAAAUCAAUAGAUUAGUAAAAAAUCAAUAGGAAAUUACUAUUAUUAGUUGAAACUCAGUAGGAAACUACUAUGAUUAGUAGGAAAUUAGUAUAAUUUAGUUCAGAUGCUUAGUAUAAUUUUGUAUAACUUUUAGAAAUUACUAUGUUUUAUUAUAAAUGAUUCAAAAAUUAGUAGAAAUUUGUAGAAAUGCUAAACACUUAUUUAUAGUAUAAAUUCUUAGUCUAUUUUUUUAAUACAUUUGGUAUAAUUUUUAUUACGUUACUAUAAUUUAGUACAAAUACUUCAAAAAUUAGUAAAAAUUUCAAGAAAUUUGGUAGAAAUUCUUACAAAUUACAAGAAAUUUGUACAAAUUUGGUAUAAAUGCUUAGAAAUUAGAAGAAAUUUGGUAGACAUUCUUAGAAAUUAUUCAAAAUUUGUAGAAACACUUCGAAUUUGGUCGAAUUUCUUAGAAAUUAGUAGAAAUUUGUAGAAACAUUUAAAAUUUGGUAGAAAUUCUUAGAAAUUUGUAUAGACACAUUAAAUUUGAUAGAAAUUCCAAUAAAUUAGUAGAAAUUUGUAUAAACAUUUCAAAUUUCGUAGAAAUUCUGAGAAAUUAGUAGAAAUUUGUAUAAACACUUCAAAUUUGGUAGAAUUUAGUAGGAAUUAGUAGAAAUUUGUAGAAACACAUCAAAUUUGGUAGAAGUUUCUAGAAAUUAGUAGAAAUUUUUAGAAACACUUCAUGCAUGAUUCAUUAAAGACUUUCAUGUUGUUUUAUGAUUUCAUGUAUAUACCUUAACAUACAUGUAACUAUGAUUUCAUGUAACACAUUAAAGACAUUUCAUGUAAGUUUCAUUCAAGACAUUCUUGUGUAUUUCUUGUAAGUUUUUAUGUAAGUUUCAUUUCAUGUAUGGUUUCAUGUGUACAUUUCAAUCAAUUUGUUUUUUCAUGAUUGUUCUAUGAUUUCAUGUAUAUACCUUAACGUACAUGUAACUAUGAUUUCAUGUGUGUUUAAAGUAGUUGAGAUGGCAGACGACGAGACCACAAGGUAUCUAAUGGAGCAUAUUAGUGCUGAUAUGGGUAGUGACUCCAACCUUCCCGUAAUGUACACCGAUGAAGAGGUAACCAGGCGGACAUGUUCCUCAACAUGUCCGGCGAUGGCAAUGAAGAGCCCGAGCCCCAGCAAAACCUUAUCGUGACGGAAGGUUUCGACGAGGUAUAUAUCAUUUCCAAUGUUUUACCCCAUCUAUAAUGUCUUAUUCGUUAUUACUAUGUACUAAUUUACGAAUCUUGAACUGUUAGCCCUCUGGAUUGAUGCACUGUUAGAAGUCCUGAGGUCGUACAAGAAUGAUGGAUGACAGGCUUAUCAUCAUGGAAGUCACAAAAGAGGGUAGGCUGGUUGCUCCCAAAAAAAUGGCAAAAAAGUACAUGACUCAGAUCGAGGCAAUCUUAAGGGACAACAUGCCCAUCAGCAUCAGGGAAUGGAAGGGCAAAAGUACUAAUCCAUACGCGCUCCCGGAUACAGAAAAGAAUAUGCUGUGGGAAGAUGUCAAGAAGCAUUUCACAUUUCUCGAAGGAUGUAAUGAAGAUGAUGUGAAAUUGUGGAUGCUGAAGAAGAUGGCCACACAAUUCCAGACAUUCAAUAAGAUGUUGGAUGCCAACUUCAUCAAGAAGGGCCAAACUCUGGAUUUCGAUGAGUGGCCAAAGUUGAGGGACCAUUGGGAGACAUUUGUUGAAUACAAGAUGAGCGAAGACAGUGCGAAUGGGGUCAAGACCAACGUUGCUGAUGCUGGCAAGAAGGAGUACCAUCAUCGUUUAGGGUGAGAUGGUUAUGGCACAGCAAUUCCCAGAUGGCACAAGAUGGAACAAGACCUGAUCGAUCAGGGUAUCGUACCAGCAACUAUUGAAUGGCCUGAUCGAUCGAAAAAUUAGUAUUACGCUCAUGGAGGCUUCCUCAGCCAAGAGAGCCUCUUGAGCCAAGAGGAUGGGACGCUGAUCUUCAAUGAGACAAUACAUCAGAAGGCUGAAAGGCUUAUCAAGAACAUUGAAGAUGCUAAGGCUGGGAGGUUAAAGGUGGACUGAGAGAAUGAUGAGCUCACAUUGGCCCUUGGGAAUCCCAACCACCCAGGACGUUGCCGAGGGUUCGUGGUCAUUCCGUGGAAGUUUGCUUUCUGAGGUGACAUCGCCUCAUACAGAAGUCGCAAGCGAAGAAAGGAAUAGGUUGAGGAGAGCUGGCGGCGCAUGCUAGAAUCCAGAGUGCAUUCACAAAAAGUAUGAAUGAAGGAGAAAAUCAUCGUUGAGUGGCCCUAGCAGUUGCGGAGUUGGCCCAAUCUAGAGCACUGCCGGAUCCAAACAUCCCCAGCCCUUCUCAACGCCUCGGGAGCAUCUGUGCUUCCACAGGGAUCCCCGAUCCAUAGAGACCAAGAUUACCUGUGGACGAGCAACGGUUUGGUGUGGAUGUCAUCACACAACGCACCUCAUGUGAGCUGCAUACACCGGUCGGCAACCUCACCAUUAAGGUAUACUUAUACAUAAUAUUUAUGCAAUCUUCUGAAUCCAUCCACACCUCGGGAUCGGAGUUUAAUAACUUCUUUAUUUAUGCUAUAUGUAUAGGUGGCGUACGGGAGUGCCUUACCAAUUCUGCCAGGGCAGACAAGCCAUGGCAUGGAGAUUUCACCUGGCUACGCCAGCGUUGGCCUAGAACAGCUCGUUGAUAGCCAAUAUAAAGGCCUAGAGCUCGACCUCCAGGAAGGCAACGAGGAAAGGACACUAGGAGAUGCGCUUCACGUAAUCAUUCUAUGGCGCAAACGCUACAUCAUUAUCCCUGGCACGAAGGCAUCUCCUCAAAGGUCAAGACCGCUCCCCGCAGAUCCCCAGCAGCGACCAUCUCCUCAAAGGUCAAGACCAUCAUCUGCACCACGGCCUGCUCCAGGACCGUCAUCUCCAGCACAACCUGCUCCAAGACCGUCAUCACCACUGGGACCGUCGCUUCCUGCUCAAUCAAGGUCUCCAUCUCCACCACAUCCUGGUGGUGCGAGCGAUGAUGACGACAACAACACCCCUCCCCGAUCACCGUCACCUAGACUAAGAGCAGACCCAAGCAAGGAACCGGCAGCACCAAUUAAGAAGUCAUGACCACCGCCUCCCAAGCCAAGACAGAGAAAGAAGAAAACAAAGGAGCCUGAAGUGACUCCUGAGGAAAGCUGGGAGGCAAUGAGUCAAGCGGAGCGCUGCGCCCAAACCCAAGCAGAAGCCAGAGAGUGGUUCAAGAAAAGGGCUGAAGAAAAAAAAGCAAGGGAGAUGGAGCCACCACCAGUACAUUGAAGAGAACUAAAUUUUUUUAUCUAGAUGCAAGGAGAAGCCAAAAAGAGGAUAUCACUACUAUCAAACUACGAACGAGUGCUAAUCAAGGCUGAUGAGAAGAAAAAAAGGAAAGGAAAGUCGUCUUCAAGUGGUGCUAUCCCCCACCUUGGGCAUCUACCAGAAAGAGACGCUAGAAAGAUAGCAGCAAUGCCCUUGGAUCAACAAGUAGAAGUAUUGAAAUUCAUGGAAGAAAUAGGUAUGGGACUUGCUGAAUGUCUAGGGCAAGCUGAGCUACCUGCUGCACCACUAGUUGAACCGAAAUGGAUAUUUGAGCUAGGCAAGCCUCUGGUAAGGCCUGAGUUGGUAUGGAAGCUAUCAACAAAUAUGUAUGAAUUCCAUGAAUGGUACAUGAAGUUGUCCGCCGAUGAGAGGGAGAUGUUCAACCUUAAGUUAAAACCGAUAGAUUUUUAUGGCGAAGGCGAGAAAGUCUUGUGGCUAGAAUUCAAGGACAUAUACGAAGUUUACCAUCAUGAUGCCCUUGAAGUCUCUCUGAUCAGCGCCUGGGCUCUGUAAGUGUCUGUUAAUCUAUAUGUAAAUUUUGGCUCAUAUCAUUAUUUUUUGUGCGUGCGUCAUCGUACUAACUUUGUCUUCCAUUUUAUGUAGGAUGCUAAUUCAAACGUGACUUCGUCUUCCAUUUUAUGUAGGAUGCUAAUUCAGAUGUGCCGACGAGAAGUGUACCUCCAUGUUGGCUUCAUGGAGCCAUCCCUAGUUAACCAAAAAUAGAUACAGGAGCAGACAGAGAAAACGUUGGUGGAAGUAUAUAAUUUCCUAGACAAACAAAAUUUCAAGGAUUUCAUACUACUUCCAUACAACUUCAAGUAAGUGUGUGUAUACCGUCUAUUUUCAUUUUCUUUUUCCUUACUUGAUUAAUGUUAGUUAGCUCUAAUAUAUAUGAACAUUUACGUACGCAGCUACCACUGUAUCCUCAUAAUAAUUGAGCCUGAAAGAAGCCACAUCACUAUCUUCGAUUCAUUGAGGAAAGCUCCAACGAAGUACCAAGACAUUCAAGACAUGCUAGGCUAGUAAUAAUUUUGGAAUUUUAUCUCUAUGCAAAAGUUUGUUUCCUAAAUUUUACCUAACACUAUAUCAUUCAUUAUUUUAAUCCGCAACGCAUGGCGAGAAUUCAUUAGGAAACACAACGGUCCAUACAAAGAAAAUCUUACAUGGAACACAGCCUUCCCGAUACGUAUGAAGUUUGCACAUUUUGUACAUUCUAUAGUAUGGAUAUUUCAUAACUUAUUUUUUCCCCAUUAAAGUGCUUAAGACAGGAACCCGAGAAUAAUCUAUGUGGCUACUACAUUUGUGAGCACAUGCAUGGUUUUGUGGGAUCCAAGGGAAAGAUGAUGCCGCAUGACUAUAAAGUACGUAAAAUAAAACUAUUAAUAGUUAAUUAUUUUCUACCUCCUUAUAUUUAAUUGUUAGUGUAAAAUUCACAUUUUUCCAAAUGAUAGAUGUAUAAUAUUCAACAGGAAGUCUUGAGGAAGGAAAGAGUAGCAGCAAUAUGUGAAGGUCUCAUUGGAUUCCUGUUGGACAAGGUGGUAAAUCCACAAGGAGAAUUUUAUUACGAUGGACGAAAAUUAGUCGCACCGAGCAACACCUCGACGGGAAGAUCCAAUAUAGUUUAAUUUCAUUUGUAUAACACACUAAGAUUUGUAUAGUAUGCUAAGAAUUGUAUAUAUAUACUAACAAUUGUAUAUAUAGGAAUUGUAUAAAUACUAGUUUGAUUCGCUUAAAUACUAGUUUGAUUUCGUUAUAAAAAAAGUCUCAACUACUAAAGGUUAACUAAAGGGGUACGUACGUGAUGCAUGAAAUUACAAGCGCCUGCAUGGUGCAUGUUUGAAAUUUCAAGCAUGACUUUAGUCUCUGUUGGAAAAACCAACUGGGACUAAAGGGCCCCCCAUUUAGUUCCGGUUGGUAAAACCAACCGGGAGUAAAGGGCCUAUCUCGCGCCUAGCGUUGCAGCCCCUUUAGUCCCGGUUGGUUUUUCCAACCAGGUCUAAAGAGUGUCUUUAGUCCCAGUUGAGUGAUCUGGAACUAAAGACCCCCACCCCUUCAUCUCGAUUGCUUUAUCCCGGAUGGAUAUUUGGUAGAUUUGCUCCCUACCAACUGGGACUAAAGGCGAGUUUUGCACCAGUGUGAGUGUGGUACUAAUGUGAGCAUUAGUAACGGGCCUAACGGCUAGUACCCCUGGGCCACCCUGUGACCCCCUUGAGUACCGGUUGGGGGAACCAAUAAUAAAGGCUACACAUUAGUACCGGUUGGUUCUGCCACCCGGUACUAAUGUGCCAUCGAGCCUUUAGUACUGGGUGGGGUCACCAACCGGUACUAAUGUGUACCCUUUAGUACCGGUUGGUUCCCCCAACCGGUACUAAAUUUUCUCCUAUAAAUCCUCCUUCUUCUUCCUCCUACCCGAGACAUUCACCACAGCUCGAGCUUCAUCCUAUCCAUGGCUCCAUAGGGAAGGUGCUGCCGGAUUGAAGACCAUUUAGUGGGACCCAUUCAAGUGUUCUAAAGGUGAGAAAAUUCAUCCUUCCUUGAUAUAUGGUUAGUAUACUAAUUUUAUGCUUUAGAGCUAGAGUAAUUUGUUAUUUUUAGAAUAAGGUACAAUGGGGAAAUUUUUCAUUCAUAUGCAUGUGUUAUUUGGAGGUCAUAUUUGUGAUUUUUAGAAUAACCUAUAAGUUUUUGGAUGCUAUGUUUUCAUAUUAGUCAAAGAAAUUGAUAUGAGAUUAGAGGAAUAAUUUCAUAGAGGCACAUGUGAGCGAGAUAAAUUGUGGUACAUAGAGAUAAUAAGAUAAAAUAGAGGUAUGUAAUUAGUCAUUUUUAGAAUAAGCUACAAUGAAGAAAAUUUUCAUUUAAAUGUUAUGUUUGAGCUAACUAAAUUGUGGGGGAAAAUAUAGAAUUUAUUUAUAGUUUAGUCAUUUGCAAAUAUUAGCUAAAUAAAUUUUGGUACAUAGAUAUGGCUUCUGCUGCUGGAGGUAGUGGUGAUGGUAGGGGUGAUCGUCGUUCCUCUUGUAGCAAGGGGAAAACCAUAGUUGGCCUUGAUGAUAAGCCAAAGAAAAUGAGCACGUGGGAGAAAACAAUGCUUUGUUAUUUGUAAAGAUGUCAUGAAAAUGCAGUUGCGGCAGGUCAGGAACCUCCUUUUGGUGGUCGUUAUGCUCCACCGCAAGUCCCGGGUGUUUCACGUCCACUUAGUACUACCGUUGUAGGAGGCACAAAUAAAUCACAAGAUGAGGCUGGGUCAGUGAAACCUUCAUCUUCGUCGCCCAAGGAUGCUUAAGUCCUCCUAGAUAGUACUCAGUGGAUGGUUUGACGUAGUGUAUCAUGUUGUUUAGGUCUAAAAUUUAAAUAUGUGUAUUUCUAUCUAUAUCUAAACUUUCAGCAUCAUUUGAGUUUGUCGUAGUGUAUCAUGUUGUUUGGGUCUGAAAUUUAAAUUUUUGUAUUUCUAUCUAAACAUUCAGCAAUAUUUCAGUUUAAUGGUAUUUAUUUCAUGUUUGUUAUGUUUCAUUUAUAAUUGUAUGGAUGAUCAGAAUAUCUUUGGUUCGGUAAUAUUUUGUAGAUGGAUCGGCAAUGGAUGUACAACGUAGACAAACGUUCCAUGGAGUACAUUAAUGGCUUGCAUGAUUUUCUAGAUUAGGCAGAAUCCAACAAACUGCCAUCCGGUUUCAUUUGUUGUCCAUGCAGAAAUUGCAAAAAUGAGAAGGAAUACUCAUCUAGAAAAACUAUUCACACCCACGUAUACAAUUCUGGAUUCAUGCCUAACUAUUUUGUUUGGACCAAACAUGGGGAAAGAGGAGUUAUGAUGGAUGAUGAUGAAGUAGAAGAAGAUGACAAUAUUCCUGACUGGAUUCAAGGAGGUGCCUUUGCAGAUGCUCCAAUGGACAAGGCUAAAAAAGAGAUGGGCGAGGUAGAAGAUCCUAUCGAUGAUCUAGGUCAAGUGUUGUGAGAUGCAAAGGAAGACUACGAGAAUGUGAAGGAGUCAAAAAAGUUCGAGUGUAUGUUAGAUGAUCAUAAGAAAUUGUGGUACCCAUAUUGCAAACAGGGGCACAAAAAAUUCGGUACCACACUUGAAAUGCUGCAAUGGAAGGCAAAAAAUAAAGUUUCUAACAAGGGUUUUGAUGAGUUAAUGAAAAUCAUAAAGAACAUGCUUCCCGAGGGGAACGAAUUGCCAUCCUCAACGUACGAAGUGAAAAAGGUUGUUUGGCCUCUGGGUUUGGAGGUACAAAAGAUACAUACAAGCCCUAAUGACUAUAAUCUCUAUCGCGGUGAGGAAUAUGAGAAAUUAGAGGCUUAUCCUGUGUGCAAAGCGCUGCGUUAUAAGAUCAGGCGAGAUGAUCCCGAUGAUGUUGAGGGGCAGUCCAGCAAGAAGAAAGUUCCUGCAAAGGUAAUGUGGUAUUUCCCUGUAGUACCACGAUUGAAGCAUUUGUUCAGAAAUAAGGCACACGCAAAGUUGAUGUGUUGGCACAAAGAAGAACAUAAGUAAGAUGAAAUGAUCAGACACCCUACUGAUGGGUCAUAGUGGAGAACAGUUGAUAGAGAAUUUCCCGAGUUUGAAAAGAAUGCAAGGAACAUAUGGUUUGGUUUAAGUAUGGAUGGAUUCAAUCCAUUCGGUGAGUUCAGUAGUGGUCAUAGCACUUGACCUGUGACCUUAUGUAUGUUCAACCUUCCACCCUAGAUGUGCAUGAAGCAGAAGUUCAUUAUGAUGCCGAUAAUUAUCCAAGGCCCAUAACAACCUGGCAACGACAUUGAUAUUUACCUAAGAUCGUUGGUUGAUGAACUUCUACUGUUAUGGAAGGAAGAAGGUGUAUGUGUGUGGGAUGAGGACAAAAAGGAGUCUUUUGAUCUAUGAGCAUUGUUGCUUGUAACCAUCAAUGAUUGGCCAACGCUUGGUAAUUUGUCCAGUCAGUAAAAUAAGGGAUAUCGAGCUUGCACGCACUGUUUAUAUGAUACUUGCAGCAUGUAUUUGAAACACUGUAGGAAGGUUGUGUAUACGGGCCAUCGUUGAUUUCUUCCUAUUAAGCACCCGUUAAGAAAAAAAGGGAAGCAUUUUGAAGGGGAGGAAGAAAAACGUACUAAGCCCGUUCACCGUAAUGGUAAACAUGUAUUUUCUAUGAUAAAGGAUGUGAGGGUAGUCUUUGGCAUGGGCUCUAGUAGCCAACCUGUUCUGAACGACGAGGACAGACAUGCACCCAUGUGGAAGAAGUCUAUAUUUUAGGAGCUACCUUAUUGGGAAGUCCUUGAGGGCUGUAAUGCAAUUGAUGUGAUGCACCUGAUGAAAAAUCUUUGUGUGAAUGUGCUUGGCUUCCUGGGUACAUAUGGAAAGGCAAAGGACACAAUUGAACCACAUCAGGACCUAAAACGUAUGAAACAACGAGAUGGCCUACAUCCAGAAAAGAGAGAUGAUGGACAUUACUUGCAUCUUGCUAGUUACACUCAGCAAGGAAGAGAAGGAAAGCAUGUGUUGACUGCUUGAAUAGUAUCAAGGUCCCAUCGGGCUACUCCUCGAAUAUACAUGCAAUACUAAAUUUUAAAGAGAAGAAAUUCAUAAAUCUAAAGGCCCAUGACUACCACGUCCUGAUGACACAAUUGCUGCCUGUUGCACUCAGGAGUAUUCUAUAGGAGAAUGUGAGAAUGGCAAUCGUGAAGCUAUGUGCAUUUCUCAACAUGAUUUCUCAGAAGGCAAUCCAUCCAAACAAUCUACUAAAGCUGUAAAAUGACGUGGUGCAAUGCCUUGUCAACUUUGAGAUGGUCUUUCCACCUUCCUUUUUUAAUAUCAUGACCCACCUUCUAGUCCACCUUGUUGAAGAGAUUUUUGUUCUUGGUCCUGUAUUUCUACACAAUAUAUUCCCUUUCGAGAGGUUUAUGGCAGUUCUGAAGAAGUAUGUUCGUAAUUGUGCCCGUCCGAAAGGAAGCAUCACAAAGGGAUAUGGAACAGAGGAGGUCAUUGAGUUUUGUGAUGACUUUAUGGAUGACCUGAGUUCGAUUGGAGUCCCUAUAUCACGCCAUGAGGGGAGACUGAAGGAAAAGGGCAUACUAGGGAGGAAAGCUCGGAUGGACAUUGCUGAGAGUACAUUUCGUAAAGCACACUUCACGGUCCUGCAACAAUCAUCCCUGGUCGCUCCAUAUAUGGAGGAGCACAGGGCUAUUGUACGGUCCUCAAACCAAGGGAAGAUUGAGGCCCGGAUUACACGUCAUCACAUUGACACUUUCGCCUCUUGGUUGCGGCGAUGACUGAUGGGUGAUGACAUGAUUGUAGAACAACUAGCAUGGUUGGCUAGGGGUCCAUCUAUCUCUGUAUCAACAUUCCAAGGAUAUGAGAUAAAUGGGUACACAUUUUACACGAGAGCCCAAGACCAAAAGAGCACAAAUCAAAAUAGUGGUGUCCGUAUAGAUGCAAUAGACAAUAAUGGAAAAAAGAUAGAUACUAUGGUGUCAUUGAGGAGAUAUGUGAACUGGACUAUGGACCUUUCAAAAUCCCUUUGUUUCGGUGCCAAUGGGUGAAACUUACUGGAGGAGGCGUAACGAUAGACAACUAGGGGAUGACAAUAGUGGACCCCAACAAGAUUGGAUAGAGAGACGAACCAUUCGCCCUAGCUAAUGAUGUGACUCAAGUUUUCUAUGUGAAGGACAUGUCAAGCAAACCAAUAAGGAAGGGUGCUAAUAAGUCAGAUGACCAGCCAAAGCGCCACAUAGUUCUUCCAGGGAAAAGAAAAAUCGUUGGAGUUGAGGACAAGACUGACAUUUCAGAAGAUUUUGAUUAGUUCGAUGAUCUUCCUUCAUUUUUAGUCGAGGUUGACCCAAGCAUCCUGUUAGCCAAAGAGAACGCUGUAUACUUACGCCGCGAUCACAACCAAGGGACAUUCGUCAAGAGGAAGGUUAUUAACGUUCCAAUAGAUGAUGUUGUGUAAUGUAUUAGAACCAUUAUAAUGAUUUGUCAUGUAUCUGCGUUGUAAUGAUUUGUCAUGUAUCUGCGUUGUAAUGAUUUGUCAUGUAUCUGCGUUGUAAUGAUUUGUCAUGUAUCCACGUUGGGUUUAUUAACAAUAAUAUUUGCAAAAAUCUCCCCUUAUUAAAGAACUGACUUUUGCCUGGUUAAAUAUUAAAUAUUUCGAUUUUCUAUAGCACCAUUAAAUAUUAAACCAUAAAUUUACGUACAAUUAAACAAGUACAAGACUAAUUCAUGAUAAACUUCUUAAUAACACUACAAGCACUAUUUUUCUAAAAUUUUGCAUGGUUAAAAUAUCUAUUUUUUUAUUUUUAAAGUUAACAUAAGUAUCAUGACCAUUAUAACCUAUUAUUAUGUUAAGUUUAAUAAAUUUAUGUUUGAUAUUUAACUGCAUCUAAUAUUUUUAUAGUGUAUAUCUAAUCAACAUCAGGAUCAGAAAUUAUUUUUGCAAUUUUUAUGAACGUUAUUUGAUUUACUACGCAAUAAAUUAAUAUAAUAGCAAUUGUAAAAGAAAGAAAAUAGAAAGAUGUAUAGGCGGGAAGCCAAAAUAGUGGGCUACAAAGCCCUUUAGUAUCGGGUGUGUUUACCCUUUUGGUACUGGGUGGUGGCUAGACCCGGUACUAAAGGAAUGGCCUUUAGUACUGGUGCUAGCCACCACCUGAUACUAAAGGCCUUUAGUACCGGGUAAAGGCGAGCCCCGUUACUAGGGUGGGGGGAUAAAACCCCAUCUCCUUUCUUCCCCAACACUUAGCCACGCCGUGCACGUCAAUUCGAGCCCACAACAAAGUUCCUCUCGCCGACGCCUUUGCCACACUCCUCCUCCACUACGACACCCCCCCCCCCCGGGUGUCCCAUUUCGCCUGGCACUGGGCCGCCACACAAUCCACCACGGGCGCCAGCCCGGGCGCCCCUCCUUGGAAUUCCCCAUGACGUGGACUCCUCACCAAUGAGCCGCCAUUGAUCCCCCCCCCCCUCCACCCAUGAAUUAAUUGAGUAUGACUAGCUCACAUUGAAUAACCUCCCCGCAGGGGGGGGGGGGAAAAAACCCCUUUCUCCUUUUUUUCCCCACCAUUUAGCCCCCCGGGGCAGGUAAAUUGGAGCCCACAAAAAAUUUCUUUUCCCGGACCCUUUUGCCACAUUCCUCUUCCAUUAGGAACCCCCCCCCCCCCGGCUGUCCCAUUUCGCCUGCCAUUGGGCCGCCACACAUUCCACCACGGCCGCCAGCCCGGCCGCCCCUCCUUGCAAUCCCCCAUGACGUGGCCUCCUCGCCAAUGAGCCGCCAUCGCCCCCCCCCCCCCCCGCCCCCGAUGACAUGCCGCCAGCCUCCUCUCUGCUUGCCCACUCCGCCGCCGGCUGUAGCGGAACCGCCCAAAUUAACCUGACCAAAAUGCACUUAAGCCACCUGACACGUGAUCAUGCACUUUAAGCAAGCCAACUUGGUCGUCCAUCGGAUUUCAUCCGAUAAACCACUUACUUAGGAUCGAGAAGCAUUGCUCACGCGAAGGUGAGUGGCACAGAGAUUACAACAUUUCCAUCACAUUAACAUAGUUCAAGACUUUAUUACAUCAAAGUUUUAGAAAUCCAAACAGAGUUUGCAAGGUUGUAAACAACGAAGAAGUAAAACAGCGAAAGCUACAUGACGAUACAAAAUACCAUGGCGAAGCCGACCAUGAUAUCCAUUUCAACGAUCCACGCUAUCUGAGGCUGGUUUCCACUCGACCGACGAACCCGGAGGGAGUUGGGUCAGCCAACUCAAGCUGGCAACCAUUUCCUUGUACUCAGCACUACCUGAAAAGAUAGCCACAAGCAAGGCUGAGCAACUAGUACUCCGCAAGACUAACCCGACAGGUGAUAACUACUUCACUGACUCCUAGUCAUGCAAGGCUUUUUGGUUGUGGGUUUGUUUUUGCCAAAAGCACCUUGAGUUGGUCCUUACUUUCAAUAAUUUAGCUCAAGUUAUAAGUUUAUUAACCAGUCUAAAUUAGCAACUUAUACUAAGAAAGCAUUGUUUCCAAACAAUUAAAGACCAAGCAUCAAGAUUAAUAUCAUCAUGUUCCAUCUUUACUCAGCGUAGAAUAGCGAUCAAGCAGUCCCAAACUGUGAGAGGCAGACAAAUCAAUUCAAAUGUAUUAACCAUGCAUGGCAAACCUAAUCCCACGAUAUCCGCGCACAACGAAGGGUCGCUUCACUUGUCAGCCGCCCCCAUCGAUCCCCAGGCACGUGUCAGGGCCAAACUUCCCUUGGCAUGCAAUGCUCCUUAGUCCCAGCCUCUUGUCGUACUGUGACUGCACUUGCACCCACACGAUGCACCAUGGGAACCCAGGGACACCAAGAGUAUAAGCCACGCCCCAGUUCAAUCAGGUACUAGGCUUCCCUAUCCCAUACUAGGUAUGAGAUUAGUACUUUCAAACACUUGAUCAAGAACGCCGACAUGUUUUGACCUUAGCAAGUUCAUUACUAGACAGACGGGGCAAACCACCACAUUGGAACUAUUCCCGGUCCCGCCCAUCAUCCUUAUGGUUGUAGCAUUAGUAAACAAACAACUCCUAUAACUCGCGAGUGACAGACAAUCACUCGACUUUUAUCGAGUCCUAUUUAGUAUAGCAACUACUCGACCUUAGCAACUAGUGUUCAGAUUCAAAGGUAUUAAGUUCAUGCAUCUAUGGUUUCAAUAACCUCCUACAAACGUAAAUGCACAAUCAUAAGCAUCAACAUAUUGCAUAAAUUUAAAAUAGGGAAGCAUGCACCGGGGCUUGCCUUCAGGUUCAGGAAAAGUUAGCGGGUCCUCAGGGUCUUGAUCUAGCUCGGGCUCAACUUUCGCAUGAUGUAGCUCUGCGGCGGGUUCCUCUUCCAGCGUAGGGUGGAGCUUGUAGGUUCCGUCGGCAAUAUUAGCUUCUACACGACAUGCACAUGCAGAGAGUUCAGAUUUUUCCAUGCUUUCGUACGAAUGAUGCAAGGCAUGACUUAUUGCUGGAAUGAAAGUGCAUCUCAACCACAUUCACCUAAACAAGGUUUUAAUUUUCAUAACUUCAUGAAGUAAGGUGGGUUGUGGUUUAAAACUCGGGGUUGACUUUGAUGUGGAUUGUGUACAUAUUUAAGAUUCUUACAACUUAGAGUUCACAAGGAAGGUGGGGUCGCUUUUAGGAUUGUUCGGGGUUCAUUUGGAGAGUCAUUUAUUUCUGAAUGUUUUUUUUACCUUUCCAAAAAUUACCCAUUAAGUUUAUUAGGACUUACAUUUCUUUAUUCACUUAAACCGAUUCCUCAUCCAAAAUUUGGUUCCACAAGCAAACAGUAACAUAUGACAUUGAGAAAUUUACAAAACCUUACGUUUAUCCUCAAUGAGUUACUGUAAAAAUUUGGGAUCCAAAGGAUGGGUACAAAAAGAAUUAAAAUUGUUUUAUUAACCAAGGGUAGUAUGUACUUAACCAUUUUUAUCUCAAAACCUACAGUGAUUCGGAGGGUCAAACUUUAACAGUGUAUUGAAGGCAUGUUACAGAGACUUUGGUGAAUUUUUCAUGAUGUUUAGAGAAGGACAUCUAGUCCCCAUAUUUUUCUCCUAUUUAUCUUUCUCUAAAAAGGAAGGUGGGCUUCAUUAAGCUUUAGUCAAGGUUUCAUAUUUUUUCUAUGAACUACACUUCAAAACUAAGCUACUCCAAGUGGUUUCAUAUUUUUCUCAGCUCUGGAUUAAAACUUAUGUAAAAAUAAAGAUUUAACCCUAGAUUUCAAAUAUAAAGCUAAAACAAUGAGUUAAAGUUCUACUCCAGGGUCUUCACUAUUUUUCCAAGCUUCCAUACUCAGAAACAUACGCCACAGAGUUGGAUUUAUCUUUUUAGCAUUUUUCUUUGAUUUACUAUGAUUUAAAAGGCCUAAGAAAGAAAUAAAACUAUAGGGUAUUAUUUGCAACAGUAACACGGGCAAGAAUAUUUUUAUAAAAAAACUAGACAGUUCACUGAGUCCAACAAAAGUGGUUUGACAUUUUUCUGAUUUUUCUACGAUUUAUGGUGCAUUUACAAAGUUUAUCCUAUUUUCUGCCGAUUUGAAACAAUAAACCGAAAACAACUUACAAUCUAAACCUCGUGUCUAUGGUUUAUUCACGCAGGGGGUCCCUAGUUCUUGCGCUAAGGCCCCUGGAAAAAGGUAAAAGACACAGGGAGGCUCUUGCGGUGGCCGGCGGUGAGCUCGACUCGAUUCCAGCGAGUCUCGGGGUCAAUCGAGGGCAAGUAUAGGCGUUGGAGAUUCGGGAGCUCACCGGGGAGGGAUUGGCAGCAAUUGGGGUGUCGGAGUGGGCUCGGUGGCAGUGGAACGGCUUGGGGACGGGAGGCGGCUUCGGCAGCGGAGUCCCGGUGGAGUUCCGGCGAUGGCGGGGCUCCGGGAGGGCAACAAGCUGCUCGGGUAGGAGCGCAGGGUGAUGGCGGAGCUGGUGGUGGAGGUGGCGAGGUACGGGGAGUUACGGAGACAGGGGCUCCACGGGAGGGUGAUACGGCGACGCUUAGAGCAGAGGAGGCGGCAGAGCUUUGCGGAUGUGGGAAGCUACGCAGGCGGCGCAUCGACUCCUUUUACAGGGCCAGGGAGGUGCGGAAGGCAAGAGCGGAGCCAAUGCUGGUGGCGAACGUGGCUGGAGGCGAGCAGGGAAGGAGAACAGGGUGGCGCCAUUGGCCAGCGGCACUCACUGGCGGAGGGAUGGCGCGGGCGUAUGCGAAGAUCUUCCGGUGAUUGGACGGGAGAGAUAGGAGGUGUGCGAGAUCUUCUUUAUCUGGCAGAGUGAUUGGGCAAGCCGUGGGGUCAUCCUGUCGCUGUCAAGUAGCGGAUUGGGAAGGUGGAGCUCGGCCAUCGUGCAACCAUGGCGUGGCGGAGGGGGGCAGCAGAGGCGCAGCGCGGCAUUGGGCGAGGGAGAUGCUCGGGUAGAGGAAGGAUAGGGUCACGCGGUCAUUCGGCGUCCUGGCGAGCGAGUUGUUCCGUCAUGGCUGUCGGCGAGCUCGCUGGGCGAGCGGCGCUCGAGCGAACAUGCCGGGCGCGUUCCGGGCGCGCGCUGGGCGAGGUGCGCCUCGGGGCAAUCCAAAAGGGCUGGUUUUGGGGGGCCUUUUUCUCCAAACUUUUCAAAAGAACUCGUGAAACUCCAAAAGUAAAAUAUGUAGACCUAACGUCCAGCUCCAAACUUUACAAAAGGAGUUUGCUUCAAAUCAAAAUGGAUUUGAAUUUAUAUAUGGAUUUGCAAAGUUUAGCAAAACGCCGGCCUCCGGGGACUUGGACAGAUCUUGGUUUUGCUGUUUUUUAGCAUUUUGGCCGACUUUGGCUCAGAUUUUGAGUAGCUUCCCAUUUAAAUCAGGCCAAGAUGUAAUUGAAGGAAAAGUUCUUCGAUCUUAGGACUCUAACUUCUAUUUGGGACUUUUCUUGAGUUUAGUUUAGCUUGUAGUAGGAACGGGCUUGCCCAGAUGCGCGCUCUGGAUGUUUUCCAGACAUAGCGCUGGGAUGUAAGUAGGCUGAGUUGACUGUUUUACACGGUUUUGACCAAGUUUUUUAGCAGGUUCAAUUGUGAUUUGGACCUGGGUCAGUGUAACAAAGUUGUAACACACUCAAGGAGGGCUCAAAAUCAUUUGGAUUUAGCUAAGCAAAAGUAGAAAGUAUGCAAAGCUUUAAUAGAAAACCAAUUAUUAUCUUGGUUCAUUUUACUUAUGAUAACUUGGGAUAAAAAACGAUAAUGAUUUGUGGGACUUGCCUUCCUUGAAGUCCGGAUCGUUCAAAGCUUCUUCGUAAUUCGGGUCGUCAAAGCGUUUCCGAUGUCGUCAUUUUCUACAUUAUCAUAUUUAUGCGUAAACAUUCAAGCAAACAAUCAUAGCAAUACAUCAAACAUGGGUUAAAUAAUUAGAAUUGGGGUUUAGAAGGCUUUGAUAAUUUCCUAGAAUUUUCUAGGAUUUUUCUGGAAUUAUUUUGAGUGGUUUCCUAUUUUCUGGUCACAUGAAAUAUGGAUUUUUCUAUUUUAUAAAAGGGAUGAGAAUUAGUUUGGGGGUUCUAGAUGUGAGAUUUAUGCAAACAAGGUAUGUUUGGGUUUAAAAUGAUCUCUAGUAUUUUUGAGGAAUUUUUGGUGAUUUAAUUUUUGGAAGUUUCUAACAUGGCUAGGCGAAAAUUGGUGUGCAUGAGGAACAAGGGGGAGAAAGGGAGAGAGGCUGAUGGGUGGGCCAGGUGGUGAUGUGGUAGGGGAGGCCCGUGCAGUCUGCGUGGCAAGCCACAUGGUAUGCCCUAGGGCCAGGUGGUGGACCGGGGGAGGUGUGUGUGUGUGGUGUGGAUGGGUGCUGGGGAUUGUUUGGAGUCGAGUUUUGGGCGUGGGAGCAGGUAGGGAUGUGUAGCGCAUGUGGGGAAAUGGUUGGAAAGAGCCGCGGCCGAUCAGAGCAUCGCUGACGGCUUGCCACGAUUCCGGCAGCAUGGCGGCUAGGCGUAGCGGAAGCUAGAGUGGGUGAGAAGGGAGGUGGCGGUGCGGGCAGCAUGAUGGCCGUACCUGAGGGGCAGCGAGGGCUCACGCAGGCAACAUGACAGCUGGAGUUGGCCGGCAGCGAGCUAGCAACGGGGUGGCCAAAGGGUAGGAUGCGGUGCACGGUCGGUGUGACGUCAUGCUUGGGUGAGGGAAAGGGAAGGGGGGAGGAACCAGGGGUAGAGGAUGAUCACACUGUGGUGACGUCAUUGUAACGCGGUACCGGUGGGCCGCGUGGCCGGGUGUUGAUGCAAAAACCCAGCGCUUUAGGUUUCCGUGCCGUGCAACACACGAGGACCUGGGAUAUCUACUUCACUCCAGUGCAGGCUCCAAAUCGGUUUAUGAGUGGUGCAAAGGCGUGCCAGUCAAUUUGACCUGAAAAUUCCUAAGCCGAUCAGUUGUAAAGCCUUUCGAACUCAUGGGUAGGUGUUCUUGGAAUAAACACCACGAUAAAUAGAUAAUUAAUGUAAUACAUGCGGUGUAAGAAAAUAAAGCAAUCAUGGCAUGUGCCAUCGGCUAUGUUAGCCGACGGGCUAAGAAAAAGCAUUAAAAGCAAGGCAGCCAUAAAAGUGGGGAUCCCCAUUCACCACGCGCUGAUCAGGUAAGCUAGCACAUCUAUCCAAUGUCAUGGUUGGGUAUUGAACUUAGAAAAGGUAACCCCAUGAGAGGGCAAAGGCAUCCAUCUACUAGCUUACAAGAUCAGAACAUAGAAUAAGGAUCGGCCGAUGGUAACUGUACACAAGCCAGAAACAUUGACAGAUAAUGGUUGACGCCAUGGUUGGGCUCCUGUAGCCUUUAGACAGUAAAACCCCACGAGAGGCGUCACCCGCUACGUGCCAAUGCAUCAGACUAGAGCACAAAAACCAAGGGCCUCUUGCCUACCGCUCCACAAGCCAAUCAAGGUAAUGAAGUCUAAUUAGUGUCAUGGUUGGGUAUUGAACUCAGACAAGGUAACCCCACGAGAGGGCACUAACUUCGACCCGCUAGCCUCAAUUAAAUGACUAUCACGAUCGCAAGGCCUCGCGCACACUCCUAUUGGCUCAAUGAAAUUAGCGUGCUCCCACGGGAUGCGGAUAAGACCCGACUGAAGCAUCAUCUCCCAGUGGUAGCAUGGUGACGUCAGAGACCAGACGGAUGGCGACAUGAGGGGCAGGGGUAAAGAUCUAUCGGCUAAAGCAUAUAUAAACCAAAGCAGAGCACGCAAAAACUAGCCAGCCGAUGUGAUCUGAUAACUAUGAAUGCAGUAAAAGGGACUAGGAAGCUGAUGAAGACAACCUAAUCAGAUCUAAAGCAUUCAAUAACUGGUGAGAAACCGAUAAAAAGCAAGCAAGAGUAUCAUCAAAAGCCUAGGGACUAAUACUUGCAGAUCAAAGGUAUUCUCGAUAGCUGCUGUGAGCACCUAGCAACAACCCCUAGAUGGAUCUAAGAAAACUCGAUAACUUAAGCACCGUCGAUGACAACUCAACGUAUACACAAGGCCUAGGGAUGUUGACUUGUAAUCUAAGGUAACUCAAUAACUAGCCACGCGUGAAAACAUUCCAGAAUAUGAGACCUAACUCAGAAAGUUCUGCGAGAGGUCGCCAUGACCGGGUGAUGGUACUUACAAGCUCGCAGAGAUCAAAGCUGAUGCAGCCAUACACGUAGGAAGGAACUCGUUGAAACUACUCUACUCUUACCCCUAAGGGUUUUGGUAGCUGGCGCUGAAAGGUUAUAUUGAUUGAUUGUUGAUUGUUUUUACAAGAGCUCACAGGUUUAUAUUUAUACCCUAGAGCAAGCUAAAGUCCUAGCCGAAUACGACAUGAACUAUUAUAGAAAACUACUCAAACUGCCUAAGAUACAAUCUCCACACUUUCCCUUAUUUGGUGGAGCCGAUUCUAUCUCGGACUGGGCCUGCCUGGUCUUAUGUCAGCUUCUGGAAGCAUGGUCAACUGCGGCUGGUCUUGGUCAACAUGGCUCCACCGGUAGUCUCUUUCUCUCUCCUCUAUCAGUUGUCUGGACCUUAUCAACAACGGUUAACUCUGGCCAAAAACCGGUGUCAACACAUGUCCCCCAAUUUUGGGUAUAACAUUAUAUUCGAAUAUUCUCUUGUCUUCAUCAGUUUGAGCUGAUAAACUUCCAAAUUCCAAUUCAGUCGUUGCCGCAAUUAUGGCUUCCCUUUCCUUGGUUCCCGUGGUGGCGCCACCCUCUAUUUUCGGGAUUCACCUUGUGAAGGAAUAUUAUAAAACUUCUCUAUCCUCCCAUCCUCUGGUUCAUCUUCCCCUUCAAGCCAAGUGAUCCUUGCACUGCCGCCAAUCUGAGAUCAGAUUUCGCUUGAGUUCUUCUUCAAACAUCGCGCCCGCGCAAGCAGUCGCAUCCCGAUGGCUACAUCCACUACCGUCCCAGAGGUACAGUACAUUGCCGCCCUGAUUCGUAUUAUCUUCAGAUCCAAUCUCUCCUUUCGCAAACUUUUUCAUCUCCUUCCCUAGCUUAAUUUGUAGGCGUUUAGAGACCAUGUAUUGAUCCCUCUUAGUGAUGUGAAUCAUGCUUAAUUCCUUGGCCCCAUGGGUGAUACGGAUCCGAUGGACUUAAUCAAUGCCGAAACCCAACAAAUUCUGUACAAGGCUUCUUCCAUGGAUCUAUCUGUUUGGGAAGGCGAUUUCUGUUCAUGGCCCUGCAACCCCCAAGGUUGGAUGACAUGGUAUCACAGGGUAUCAGCCACCAAGAAAGUAGAAUGGGAUGAACUGUGCAUCGGCCAUUGUAUUAAACUUUGUUUAGCCAAUAUGGAAAAAGACGAAUCCAUGCUUGCUGCUGCUUGGUACUUCUGGUUUGAUGCAUUAAAUGCCUUCUUAUUGGUGAUGGUCCUAUGUCCCAUAGUUUGUUGGACGUCUACAUGCUGACGGGGCUCAAUAUCACUUCCUCUGCUUCUCCUUUCCUAUUUCAAAUUGUCAACAAGCACAAAUUGGGCACAAGAGGCAUGAUGAAUUGUAGCCGAUAUAUCAAUUCCUUUAGCAAAACUUCGGUGCAUAUAUCUACAGUUUCCACUGGAUACUCCUUAUUGUCGUGAUUGAUCAAAGCGCAGUCUAUAUCCUGGACUCUUGAGGAAACCAAGAGAUCAAUACAAAAAUCUCAUAGACAUUCUUAACAAAGCAUGGGCUCGCUUUCGUCGACAUCAUGCAGGUGAAUUCAAGGAGGAACUUGAUUUCAAGCCUGAAUUCCCGGUAUGUGUUGAAUUUCAACAUCUCGUGAGACUUCAUUGAACACAACAAAUAUUUCAUAACUUCUUUUGCCAUAUAUAUAGUGUUUGAGACAGAAGCAGGGGAAUAGUUUAUGCGGAUACUACGUAUAUGAGUUCAUCCAUGGCUUUGUAGGUCCCAAGCAUAUAACUGACCACGAAUUCAGAGUAUGUUUACAAAUUUCUUAACAAUAAAUUAGCUCUAAUUGUGAAGACCCAUUGAUCUACUAUAUAUAUAAUAACAUUUACCAAUGACACUGAUGAUGCACAUGAAGGAAGCACUCCUCGACACGAAAAAAAUCAGGGCAAUUCAAGAACAACUCUCUGAAUUUAGUUUUUCAGUUUCAUAAUGAUAGAUCAAAUCUGCAACACCGUCGGGACUCGGGUUCAGAAUAGUUGAUCCCAAAUGUUGAACUUGGAAAGUUGAUGCAAUGUAAUAUUAUUCAUAUAUAUGUAUGCCCAAUAUGUCUAUAUAUAGAAAGUUGAUGCAAUGAAAAGUUGAUGCAUAUUAGAACUAGUAUACGUAAAGGAAACAAAUACGAAAUACUAAUAUAGAAUAAAGAAACAGAAAAGAAAAUGAGAAAAAAAAAUAGAAAAAAAUAUCUAGUACCGGUUGGGGAGACCAACCGGUACUAAAGGUCCCUUUAGUACUAAUUAUUUUAACGGUUUUUUAUACUAAAGAUCCCCUUAGUACCAAACUAGCAAUACCGGUUGCUAAAGCGGUAUUAAAGGGGAUUCCCAACCAAUACUGAUGGCGUUUUCCCACCCGUGGAUCUUCGGCAUGGCACGGUGUGGACGCACACCAAACGACGAGCCCAAAGAUGGAGGAACUGCAUCUUUCUCGCAACCGGCCAUUGCUGCGUUCUGCAUCAACCUCCUUGGAUCCCGUGGCCUCUUCCACGACGUGACUCUACUCUCCCGUGGCCUCUUCCCGCAGACACAGAGGCCUGCAGCCGUUGAAACCCGUAUGACUUUGGCUCCGAUGGAGCCAGUUCCUCGCCAUCCCGUGGUCCAGGUUCACUAGCAGCCGGGUGAGAAAAAUUAGCGGAGCUCCCCGAGAAAAAUCUGGCCACACAGCUAACGAGUCACGACGGACACCGAGAGGCCGAGACCGCAGAGGCCAGGCAAGCCGCAAGCGGCGACUGCGAGAGGCGGCCAAGCCGAAGCGCUAGCCGCCAGCGUGGAUCGCCAUCCCGCCCCGUGGUCCGGAAGAUAAGGGGCGCCGCUAGGUGCCGACACGUCACGCCAGACGAGAUCAGGAUAGGCCAGCCUGGCCGGGUGACGCCACCGGCGAACGGUGGCCACUCCUGCCACAUCCGGUCGUCCUGCGCCGGAUGGGAAGAUGGGGCGCCAUGGAGCCGCUAGGCUAUAUAUAUAUGCCGCCGGUGGGGGAGCCUACAGGGACUCAAGCAAGCCUCGCUCUGCUUCCUCUUCUCCUUGGUUAAUAAUACUAGUAGUAAGCAUAUACUAGCACUAGCUAGUAAGCCAUGGCGCCGACCGUGAUGGCCUCGUCGGCCACCUCAGUUGCUCCAUUCCAGGGGCUCAAGUCCACCGCCGGACUCCCCGUGAGCCGCCGCUCCAUCAGCACCGGCUUCGUCAGCAACGGCGGAAGGAUCAGGUGCAUGCAGGUAAUAUAAUCGAUCGAUCAAGACACUGGAAUUAUAUUCUUGCUGUUUGUUCAUAGAAAUAAUGCAACUCAAUAGGAAGUUUAGGAACUGAUAUGAAAGUGUCGUUGCUCAGGUGUGGCCGGCGGAGGGCAACAAGAAGUUCGAGACCCUCUCCUACCUGCCACCUCUCUCCACGGACGAGGUCCUGAAGCAGAUCGACUACCUGAUCCGGAAGAACUGGAUCCCCUGCCUCGAGUUCAGCAAGAUCGGGUUCGUCUAUCGUGAGAACAGCACGUCUCCCUGUUACUACGACGGGCGCUACUGGACCAUGUGGAAGCUGCCCAUGUUCGGCUGCACCGAGGCCACCCAGGUGUACGCUGAGUUCGAGGAGUGCAAGAAGGCCUACCCCGACUGUUACAUCCGUAUCAUCGGCUUCGACAACAUCAAGCAGGUGCAGUGCGUCAUGUUCAUCGCCUACAAGCCCCCGGGCAGCGAGUAGACCGGCGGCGCCAAAUAAAAAGCUUAAAUACCUGUCCGUCUCAGUUCAACACCGCUUGAUUAUCUCCAUUUUUCCCCAUCUGAACGCUUCUGUAACUAUUGGGCGAGCAUGCGUGCCCAUGAGCAAUGCUACCAUUGGCUUGCUAAACAUGUGAAUGCAUGGUACAUAGC